CCAACAGGGAUUGCCUCAGUAACGGCGAGUGAAGCGGCAACAGCUCAAAUUUGAAAUCUGGCCCUAGGCCCGAGUUGUAAUUUGCAGAGGAUGCUUUUGGUGCGGUGCCUUCCAAGUUCCCUAGAACGGGACGCCAGAGAGGGUGAGAGCCCCGUACAGUUGGACACCAAGCCUUUGUAAAGCUCCUUCGACGAGUCGAGUAGUUUGGGAAUGCUGCUCAAAAUGGGAGGUAUAUUUCUUCUAAAGCUAAAUACCGGCCAGAGACCGAUAGCGCACAAGUAGAGUGAUCGAAAGAUGAAAAGCACUUUGAAAAGAGGGUUAAACAGCACGUGAAAUUGUUAAAAGGGAAGCGCUUGUGACCAGACUUGCGUCCGGUGAAUCACCCAGCUCUCGCGGCUGGGGCACUUCGCCGGCUCAGGCCAGCAUCAGCUCGCUGUCGGGGACAAAAGCUUCGGGAACGUAGCUCUCUUCGGGGAGUGUUAUAGCCUGUUGCACAAUACCCUUCGGCGGGCUGAGGUACGCGCUCCGCAAGGAUGCUGGCAUAAUGGUCAUCAGCGACCCGUCUUGAAACACGGACCAAGGAGUCAACCUUAUGUGCGAGUGUUCGGGUGUCAAACCCCUACGCGUAAUGAAAGUGAACGCAGGUGAGAGCUUCGGCGCAUCAUCGACCGAUCCUGAUGUUCUCGGAUGGAUUUGAGUAAGAGCAUAUAGGGUUGGACCCGAAAGAAGGUGAACUAUGCGUGUAUAGGGUGAAGCCAGAGGAAACUCUGGUGGAGGCUCGCAGCGGUUCUGACGUGCAAAUCGAUCGUCAAAUAUGCGCAUGGGGGCGAAAGACUAAUCGAA
rnacentral:rRNA from 1 species